rnacentral:rRNA from 1 species
GACGAACGCUGGCGGCGUGCCUAAUACAUGCAAGUUGAGCGCUGAAGGUUGGUACUUGUACCAACUGGAUGAGCAGCGCACGGGUGAGUAACGCGUGGGGAAUCUGCCUUUGAGCGGGGGACAACAUUUGGAAACGAAUGCUAAUACCGCAUAAAAACUUUAAACACAAGUUUUAAGUUUGAAAGAUGCAAUUGCAUCACUCAAAGAUGAUCCCGCGUUGUAUUAGCUAGUUGGUGAGGUAAAGGCUCACCAAGGCGAUGAUACAUAGCCGACCUGAGAGGGUGAUCGGCCACAGUGGGACGGAGACACGGCCCAAACUCCUACGGGAGGCAGCAGUAGGGAAACUUCGGCAAUAGACGAAAGACUGACCGAGCAACGCCGCGUGAGUGAAGAAGGUUUUCGGAUCGUAAAACUCUGUUGGUAGAGAAGAACGUUGGUGAGAGUGGAAAGCUCAUCAAGUGACGGUAACUACCCAGAAAGGGACGGCUAACUACGUG